UGACGUCUGGCAAAACUCAGGAAAUAUCUUGCAAGUUUUUCAAAUAUCUUGCAAGCAGCGUUUUUAUGACCGUUUUUUUACUUUUUUUUGCGCACAAGUCCAAGGGCCUACCUACACACACUCGUUGUAAACCAUUUAGUUUUAUUUUCGGUGGUUCCCUGUUCAAUUAGACGAUAUUUUCGUUUCGUAAAACCCAAGACGGCGGACGACACUGAAGAAGCUCAAUAGCGAGGAAGUCACUAUUCGCACAUGACCUUACGCCGAAUUCCAAACUCCAGGAAAGUAUUUAGGCUAUUUCUGCAGUUGUCAUGUGCACAUGGAAUUUUACAGGCAAGAAAUGCAGUAUGUAUAGGUCCUUCUUCGUCUGUGAAAAUUCGUAACAUUUUUGCUCGCCGAUUUAGUCCGCCAUCUUGGAUCUGUAAUCUGCCAGUCGUUAUUUUUUUUCCGUCCUCGCGUCAGGAUUCCUGUGGAUGUCACGCAAAUCAGAUAACGACUGGGUACGAGUCUGCCCCCGCCCCCGAAUGGUCUUUUAUGCGAGCACUUGCGAGCACUCCGUUUUUUAUGCGAGACCGAGCAUUUUUUGGCGGAAAAAAUUGCACAAGGAUGCGAGCACGGCGGAAAAAUUGCGCACAGCGGAAAAAAAUGAACGAGCAUGCGAGCACGGCGAAAAAAAUUGCGCGGGCAUUAGCCGAAAAUAUAUAUAAGACUUAUUUUUUAUGUCCGUCCAUUCGUCUGUCUGUCUGUAAUUAAGUAAACAUCCGAAACACACCUAUUUCAUCAGACUAGUGCAAUUAAAGCUGAAAUCGUUGAUCCAAUGCGCAUGCCAGCUUAUCUAAGAUCUAUGAAAUGUCAUGACAUUUUAGAUCCGUGUAUCGAGCACGGGCGUAGGCCCAGGAUUGGCCGGAGGGGGGUGGGGGGGGGGGGGAGGUGCGCAGUCAUAGGUAUCACAUGGAAAAAGCAUAGUAUAAGAAAAUUCCUUAAUAGGAAACGACCCACUUUUUGCCCGCCAAGGGGGGAUUUUGUAACAAUGGUCUACACUGCUGUCUACAUACAGUGUUGAGUAUAGACUUUUUCGUUCAAAUUUGGAACAGGACCAAUGAUAUUCGGUAACUGUUGACGGUGAGCGACUAGCCAAAAAUCCCCCCACACACACACACACACAAAUAAAAUAAAAGAAAGAAAAAAAAAACACGCAUCACAACUCAAUGCCAAACUUUUUAUUUCUUCAAUAUUAAUUCUUAGCUUUUGAGAUAAUACAAAAAGCAAAGAAAUUCUUGAUAUUUCUCGUUUUUUCUAUCGCCACAGAGGCGGUAAUUGCCAGGUCGAAAUCGUGUUAUUUCUUGUACGGGGCAAGACAUUCAAGUCAAAAUUUAUGCAGUCAUAAUGUAUAUCUGCUUUUUUAGGUGCUCCAUUUUGGCCCCCUCUGCCUCCGCACGUUCCACGGCGGCGUUGCCAUGCCUGAUAAUAAUCUGGAAACUGUCGCAAUUAGGGCAGGUGUCCACGUGAGGCUUACGGAACGAGAGGCUAAACGUUUUGAAUAUUCUCCUAUAAGAAGUAAAACUCACGGACCGAUGUCGACCCUUCCAAUGCCUUUCUUGGCUAAGAAAUCCCGCCAUAAUUGUUAGAUGACAAGUAUUGCUUCUCCUUUGUAAAUGCGCGAGCGUAAUGGGACUGUGAACGGUCAUAGCUUCUGAAAUGCUCAACGACCUGGAAAAGUGAAAAAAAAAGAAACACACACAAUCA